rnacentral:rRNA from 1 species
AGCCGCGGUAAUUCCAGCUCCAAUAGCGUAUAUUAAAGUUGUUGCAGUUAAAAAGCUCGUAGUUGGAUUUCUGUUAAUAAUUUAUAUAUAAUAUUUAACAUAUUUAUAUAAUAUUAACAUAAUUCAUAUUACUAUUUAUAGUAUAUGAAACUUUACUUUGAGAAAAUUAGAGUGCUUAAAGCAGGCUUUUGCCUUGAAUACUAGAGCAUGGAAUAAUAUUAAAGAUUUUUAUCUUUCUUAUUGGUUCUAAGAUAGAUAUAAUGAUUAAUAGGGACAGUUGGGGGCAUUUGUAUUUAACAGUUAGAGGUGAAAUUCUUAGAUUUGUUAAAGACAAACUAAUGCGAAAGCAUUUGCCAAGGAUGUUUUCAUUAAUCAAGGACGAAAGUUAGGGGAUCGAAGACGAUCAGAUACCGUCGUAGUCUUAACCAUAAACCAUGCCAACUAG